rnacentral:rRNA from 1 species
UACGGGGGGGGCAAGCGUUGUUCGGAAUUACUGGGCGUAAAGGGCUCGUAGGCGGCCAACUAAGUCAGACGUGAAAUCCCUCGGCUUAACCGGGGAACUGCGUCUGAUACUGGAUGGCUUGAAUCCGGGAGAGGGAUGCGGAAUUCCAGGUGUAGCGGUGAAAUGCGUAGAUAUCUGGAGGAACACCGGUGGUGUAGACGGCUCUCUGGACCGCAACUGACGCUGAGACACGAAAGCGUGGGUAGCAAACAGG